AAAAAUCCUGAGCCUCUUAUGCAAGUCAACCCAACUUCUGCACACUGCAAACCAAAGGGAGAAGCAGUUGCUGUUAAGCCACAAAAGAAACUUUAAUGCCAGCAUUUCCUGGUUCCAAAUCCGAAGAAACAAGUCAAUGCCCUUCUGCUUCCGUGUCCUGGCUCCAUUCCUCUUCUCACCUCAUCAAGUGCUGUUUUUCGUCAUCCAAGUGUCAUGAGGGGUGGUGAGUUGCAGUGGAAGGAGGCUCUCAUCCUGUCCAAGAACCCCUUGGUAAUUCUCCAGAUUGCUUACUCUGGGGGAAGUUGGUUGCCACGUUAUAAGGACAUUUCAGUGGCCAACAGAGAUAUCCAUGCAACAAGAAGCUGAAGCUUCCUGCUAACAGAUAUGAGUGAGCCAUCUUGGAAGAAGAUUCUACACAUCCCCAGUCGAGCCUUCAGAUGACUGCAGCCCCUGCCAACAUCCAACCCUAUGAGAGACCCUGAGUUACAACCACCCAGCUAAGCUGCUCCUAAAUUCCUGAUCCACAGAAACUGCAAGAUAAUAAAAUUUUGCUGUUAAGCCAUUA
rnacentral:lncRNA from 10 species